rnacentral:rRNA from 1 species
UACGUAGGGUGCGAGCGUUGUCCGGAAUUACUGGGCGUAAAGAGCUCGUAGGUGGUUUGUCGCGUUUGUCCGUGAAAUUCCCUGGCUUAACUGGGGGGCGUGCGGGCCGAUACGGGCAGACUGGAGUACUGCAGGGGAGACUGGAAUUCCUGGGUGUAGCGGUGGAAUUGCGCAGAUAUCAGGAGGAACACCGGUGGCGAAGGCGGGUCGCUGGGCAGUAA